UGAUUCCCUGUUGUCUUUAUUGUAACUAGAUCAGAGCAUUUAGGAUAUUUGUUUAACAUCUUGACUCUGUGUGUUAAUAGGGAGAUGCCUGGAUCCCAAUGUUAGGAACAACUUGCUUGUUUGUCAGGAGGAGGGUGGGGAGGAGGGCGGGGAAUUGACUGUGGACAAGCAGAGAAGAAAAGAAGUCAGUCAGAAUGAUCUGCAGCCCCAGGUGAGGAUGAGAGCUGCCUUCCAUUACACUGCAAGCAUCGCUGGAAGAUGCGGAUGCAGAAGAAAAGGAGCCAUCCCAAGGUGCAGAAGAGGACCCAGUUCACCAGCCGGAGAGCCUGAUAGCUAAGCUUUUUGAUUUAUCCCUCUGUCUGUCUUUCUGUCCCCUCCUUACUCUAACAGACUAACCAUCUCCAUUCCCAACCUCUACUCUCUCCUGUGUUAUGCCCCUUUCCCAAAGUAUGAGUCUCCUUUUGCUAUCUUUUUUUCUGGAGUAAUUUUGUCUAUUUUUUUUUUGGUUGAGGGUUUUGUAAUUUUUCUGUCAAUUUUUGCAAUUGUUUAGUGAAUUUGUAUUUAAUUUUGCAUCUGUUUUGAUUUUGAACUAAUUUGUUUGUCAGUUGUGUAUUUUCAGGGGUUCAGAGGAGGACAGAAGAGGAGCUCGGCCGGCCUACAGAAGAAGAGGACUCCAUUGCCCAGCUAUGAGUAGAAAGCGAGAUUGGCCAUCCAGAGUGAUGCCUGGAUCCCAAUGUUAGGAACAACUUGCUUGUUUGUGAGGAGGAGGGUGGGGAGGAGGGCAGGGAAUUGACUGUGGACAAGCAGAGAAGAAAAGAAGGCAGUAAGAAUGAUGUGCAGCCCCAGGUGAGGAUGAGAGCUGCCUUCCAUUACACUGCAAGCAUCGCUGGAAGAUGCGGAUGCAGAAGAAAAGGAGCCAUCCCAAGGUGCAGAAGAGGACCCAGUUCACCAGCCGGAGAGCCUGAUAGCUAAGCUUUUUGAUUUAUCCCUCUGUCUCUCUUUCUGUCCCCUCCUUACUCUAACAGACUAACCAUCUCCAUUCCCAACCUCUACUCUCUCCUGUGUUAUGCCCCUUUCCCAAAGUAUGAGUCUCCUUUUGCUAUCUUUUUUCUGGAGUAAUUUGUCUAUUUUUUUGGUUGAGGGUUUUGUAAUUUUUCUGUCAAUUUUUACAAUUGUUUAGUGAAUUUGUAUUUAAUUUUGCAUCUGUUUUGAUUUUGAACUAAUUUGUUUGUCAGUUGUGUAUUUUCAGGGGUUCAGAGGAGGACAGAAGAGGAGCUCGGCCGGCCUACAGAAGAAGAGGACUCCAUUGCCCAGCUAUGAGUAGAAAGCAAGAUUGGCCAUCCAGAGUGAUGCCUGGAUCCCAAUGUUAGGAACAACUUGCUUGUUUGUGAGGAGGAGGGUGAGGAAUUGACUGUGGACAAGCAGAGAAGAAAAGAAGGCAGUAAGAAUGAUCUGCAGCCCCAGGUGUAGAUGAGAGCUGCCUUCCAUUACACUGCAAGCAUCGCUGGAAGAUGCGGAUGCAGAAGAAAAGGAGCCAUCCCAAGGUGCAGAAGAGGACCCAGUUCACCAGCCGGAGAGCCUGAUAGCUAAGCUUUUUGAUUUAUCCCUCUGUCUCUCUUUCUGUCCCCUCCUUACUCUAACAGACUAACCAUCUCCAUUCCCAACCUCUACUCUCUCCUGUGUUAUGCCCCUUUCCCAAAGUAUGAGUCUCCUUUUGCUAUCUUUUUUUCUGGAGUAAUUUUGUCUAUUUUUUUUUGGUUGAGGGUUUUGUAAUUUUUCUGUCAAUUUUUGCAAUUGUUUAGUGAAUUUGUAUUUAAUUUUGCAUCUGUUUUGAUUUUGAACUAAUUUGUUUGUCAGUUGUGUAUUUUCAGGGGUUCAGAGGAGGACAGAAGAGGAGCUCGGCCGGCCUACAGAAGAAGAGGACUCCAUUGCCCAGCUAUGAGUAGAAAGCAAGAUUGGCCAUCCAGAGUGGGAGAUGCCUGGAUCCCAAUGUUAGGAACAACUUGCUUGUUUGUGAGGAGGAGGGUGGGGAGGAGGGCGGGGAAUUGACUGUGGACAAGCAGAGAAGAAAAUAAGGCAGGAAGAAUGAUCUGCAGCUCCAGAUGUGGAUGAGAGCUGCCUUCCAUUACACUGCAAGCAUCGCUGGAAGAUGCGGAUGCAGAAGAAAAGGAGCCAUCCCAAGGUGCAGAAGAGGAUCCAGUUCACCAGUCGGAGAGCCUGAUAGCUAAGCUUUUUGAUUUAUUCCUCUGUCCCUCUUUCUGUCUCCUC